rnacentral:rRNA from 1 species
AUGGUGGUGGUGUUGGACAUGGGCUGGCUCGAUCCGGCGGCUAUGGUCCGGGACGAGGCCGGAGAGGCGAAGAUGAGGUGGGUCGAUGGGGGAACGCGGUCCACGAGAUGGUGCGGGGCGGCGAGGCGGCGGCAGUCCGGCGACGCGGUGCAGCAGCGAGCUCAGCGGGGCCUGGGCGCCGACAAGGAGAAGGCGGCGGGGCAGGGACGCGCGGCGGCGAGGGUGCGUGGCCAUGGGGAUCGAGAUCCCCCUCCUGUGCGUGGUGACGGCGCGAGGGAGGAGACGAGGGAGAGAGCUAGGUUAUAG